GUGCUACUCCCUCCGUUCCGAAUUACUUGUCUUAAGUAUGGAUGUAUCUAGAUGUAUUUUAGUUCUAAAUACAUCCACUUUUGCGACGAGUAAUUUGAAACGGAGGGAGUACGUC
rfam:Triticum urartu cultivar G1812 contig21917, whole genome shotgun sequence.